rnacentral:rRNA from 1 species
AUUGAACGCUGGCGGCAGGCUUAACACAUGCAAGUCGAGCGGGGGAAGGUAGCUUGCUACCGGACCUAGCGGCGGACGGGUGAGUAAUGCUUAGGAAUCUGCCUAUUAGUGGGGGACAACAUCUCGAAAGGGAUGCUAAUACCGCAUACGUCCUACGGGAGAAAGCAGGGGAUCUUCGGACCUUGCGCUAAUAGAAGAGCCUAAGUCGGAUUAGCUAGUUGGUGGGGUAAAGGCCUACCAAGGCGACGAUCUGUGGCGGGUCUGGGAGGAUGAUCCGCCACACUGGGACUGAGACACGGCCCAGACUCCUACGGGAGGCAGCAGUGGGGAAUAUUGGACAAUGGGGGGAACCCUGAUCCAGCCAUGCCGCGUGUGUGAAGAAGGCCUUAUGGUUGUAAAGCACUUUAAGCGAGGAGGAGGCUACUCUAGUUAAUACCUAGGGAUAGUGGACGUUACUCGCAGAAUAAGCACCGGCUAACUCUGUGCCAGCAGCCGCCGUAA